GGGUACAGGUGGGCACCGAUCACUGCAAGGCGGGGGGGUGCUCCUCGCUGUUCAGGGACCGGGAACUCAGUCUGCUCAGAUGGGGCGUGGCCUGCCCUCUACAUGUUGGCUGUGAAUUCACGUUGCUGUUAAGCCUAAGUAGGUGGACCCGUGGACUGGGCACACCUCGACUUCCCCACUGCGCCUUGGAAGGUCAACUGGGCAAUCCCGUCCUGGUCCCCAGGCUUGGGUCCCAGUGGCAGAGUGAGGGCCAGGCCAAGAGGGCGCACACGGGUGGGCUGAGUUCCAGGUCCCGGGGGAUGUGCCGCCUCAGAGAGCUUGCUGCUGGCGGUCGGCCUGGCCCCUAUUUGGCUGGCUGCUCUGCACGCACCUGCUGGUUACAGCUGGGUUUCCUGUGGACCCAGCUGGUGGGCACAUCUGUCCUGAACAGGCCUCUGUUUCUCCUCGUAAACACCUCACGUGGCUUUCAUGCAUCCUCCCCCACCCCCACUGGCUUGGUUGGCAGUGCCAGUCCUCAGAAGUGAGGCUGUGUGCAUGUCAUUUGCCGGUGGCGAUAGGCAGAGCCCAUGAGACUGGGAACCAAGGCCUGGACAUGGGGGUGUCCCCACAUGCAGCAGUGAUGCCCUCGGAGGCUCCUCGGACAGCCCCUGGUCCCCAUACCACGUUCCGUGUGAGGCCUUAGAGUCAUCUGCACCCCUUCUGGUUCCAAAAAGGACUUGGGAUUAUGAUAACACUGGUGGCAUGACCAGAGGAGUUGUGUAGUAACACAGGCCGAGAGGGGCAGGGACCGGAGGUCAGACGGAGCUGGAUAUGAGCCUUUGGCCCUGGGACAGGGCGUGCUGGCCCUGGAGGUGGAGGGAGUGGCGCCCCUGGGUGACAGUGUGGUGGUGUCGGUUGCAGGAGAACUGCGCUAUCCUCAAGGAGCUGGUGACGCUGCGGGCCCAGAAGUCCCGCCUGCUGGGGUUCCACACGCACGCCGACUAUGUCCUGGAGAUGAACAUGGCCAAGACCAGCCAGACCGUGGCCACCUUCCUAGAUGAGCUGGCGCAGAAGCUGAAGCCCCUGGGGGAGCAGGAGCGUGCGGUGAUUCUGGAGCUGAAGCGUGCGGAGUGCGAGCGCCGGGGCCUGCCCUUCGAUGGCCGCAUCCAUGCCUGGGACAUGCGCUACUACAUGAACCAGGUGGAGGAGACGCGCUACCGCGUGGACCAGAACCUGCUCAAGGAGUACUUCCCCGUGCAGGUGGUCACGCACGGGCUGCUGGGCAUCUACCAGGAGCUCCUGGGGCUGGCCUUCCACCACGAGGAGGGCGCCAGUGCCUGGCAUGAGGACGUGCGGCUCUACACCGCGAGGGACGCGGCCUCGGGGGAGGUGGUCGGCAAGUUCUACCUGGACCUGUACCCGCGGUGGGUGAGGGCAGCGGGGGCGGGGGGCGCACCCCGGCCCUGGGUCUCCUCGGAGCCCGGCGUUCCCGUCUGAGAUGGGAAGGAAGUCGUUGCCUGCUCCAUGGGGUCUCGGGGAUGAACCCCGAGACGUAGCACCCGUGGGCACACCACAGGGGCCGAAAAUGCAGCUGUCCCCGUUUCCAGUCUCACUCAGCCACCCGGACAGGGCGCAGCUCUGCCCAGGCCGGAGUCCUUUAGGGGAGGGAUGGCAGCCGGGGCCUGGCCAUGGUUUUCAUGCUGCCCUGCGCCAAGCCACCUCUGCUGAGAGGGAGGUUUAGAACCUCAGAGGUGCCCGGCGGUCUGGGUUAGCAGUCAGGUGGGCUGAGGGAUGCGGAGUCAGGGACUCUUGCGGUGUCUCUAGUCCCUGCGGGGCCUGACGCUGCCUCCCUCCCCAGGGAAGGAAAGUACGGGCACGCGGCCUGCUUUGGCCUGCAGCCCGGCUGCCUGCGGCAGGAUGGGAGCCGCCAGAUCGCCAUCGCGGCCAUGGUGGCCAACUUCACCAAGCCCACAGCCGACGCGCCCUCGCUGCUGCAGCAUGACGAGGUAGAGACCUACUUCCAUGAGUUUGGCCACGUGAUGCACCAGCUCUGCUCCCAGGCGGAGUUCGCCAUGUUCAGCGGGACCCACGUGGAGCGGGACUUUGUGGAGGCGCCCUCGCAGAUGCUGGAGAACUGGGUGUGGGAGCAGGAGCCGCUGCUGCGGAUGUCGCGGCACUACCGCACAGGCAGCGCCGUGCCCCGGGAGCUCCUGGAGAAGCUCAUUGAGUCCCGGCAGGCCAAUACAGGCCUCUUCAACCUGCGCCAGAUCGUCCUCGCCAAGGUGGACCAGGCCCUGCACACGCAGACGGAUGCAGACCCCGCCGAGGAGUAUGCGCGGCUCUGCCAGGAGAUCCUCGGGGUCCCGGCCACGCCAGGAACCAACAUGCCUGCAACCUUCGGCCAUCUGGCAGGUGGCUACGACGCCCAGUACUACGGGUACCUGUGGAGCGAGGUGUAUUCCAUGGACAUGUUCCACACGCGCUUCAAGCAGGAGGGCGUCCUGAACAGCAAGGUCGGCAUGGAUUACAGAAGCUGCAUCCUGAGACCCGGCGGUUCCGAGGAUGCCAGCGCCAUGCUGAAGCGCUUCCUGGGCCGUGACCCCAAGCAGGACGCCUUCCUCCUGAGCAAGGGGCUGCAGGUCGGGGGCUGCGAGCCCGAGGCGCAGGUCUGCUGAGGCCCGGCACUGCGACUGCCCAGUCUGGCCUGCGCUCCCGCCGCCCUGGUGCCUUAGCCCCCGGCCCAGGAUGGGGCAGGCUCUGGCACAGUGCCUGGGACUGGCAGGGUGGCUGAGCGGCUGUCUUGCCUCUUGUCAUUGUCUGUCCCCACCCGGUCGUGGCGUCCUCAAGGCAUCUGGAGGGCUUUCGUGGCUGCCAGGGCCUGGUCUUUGUUGCACUAACACGUCUCCUCCCUGGGAAACGUCCCUUGUCAGGAGACGGCUCUUCUUUGAAAUGAGGUCAUUAAAAGGAAACAGAAAAAGA
rnacentral:sRNA from 1 species